rnacentral:tRNA from 12 species
CGUAGCUCAGUUGGUUAGAGCACAUCACUCAUAAUGAUGGGGUCACAGGUUCGAAUCCCG